rnacentral:rRNA from 1 species
ACGAGCGGCGGACGGCUGAGUAACGCGUAGGAACGUACCCCAAAGUGAGGGAUAACGCACCGAAAGGUGUGCUAAUACCGCAUGUGGUCUUCGGAUUAAAGCUUUAUGCGCUUUGGGAACGGCCUGCGUAAGAUUAGCUAGUUGGUGAGGUAAUAGCUCACCAAGGCGACGAUCUUUAGCUGGUCUGAGAGGAUGAUCAGCCAGACUGGGACUGAGACACGGCCCAGACUCC